ACAUUGGUGAUACUGGAAUUGUAUCUAACUUUUUAAACACUUGUUUCAGUGGGAAACCAACUGUAACUGUGACACCGAGUGCAGCUGGAUUUCUGAAACGGAUCUUCCAUAUUACAGGCGCGCUGAAAUGACAGGCAUCUUCGUUUGUGUUCUGAUGAUGAUAGAAAAUCAUACACAUCUGGCAUGGCAUUAAGGCGUUUCAUCGGGAUAAAUCCUGAGAGAGGCACCAAGGCUGGACGAGGCAAAGUCCUGUCAAAGCGUACGGGGAAAGUCGCCCAGAAAAAGAUGACAUCAGUCAACCCUCGUGUCUCCAGUCUACUAAAGAAACUAAUGGACUUUGAGUGGGACUUUAUAUAAGUCAGUGAACCCAGUCAUUCACACACAC